rnacentral:rRNA from 2 species
GAUUAGCUAGUUGGUGGGGUAAAGGCCUACCAAGGCGACGAUCCGUAGCUGGUCUGAGAGGAUGAUCAGCCACAUCGGGACUGAGACACGGCCCGAACUCCUACGGGAGGCAGCAGUGGGGAAUAUUGGACAAUGGGGGCAACCCUGAUCCAGCCAUGCCGCGUGUGUGAAGAAGGCUUUCGGGUUGUAAAGCACUUUCAGUAGGGAGGAAAACCUUAUGGCUAAUACCCAUGAGGCUUGACGUUACCUACAGAAGAAGCACCGGCUAACUCCGUGCCAGCAGCCGCGGUAAUACGGAGGGUGCAGGCGUUAAUCGGAAUUACUGGGCGUAAAGCGCGCGUAGGUGGUUUGGUAAGCGAGAUGUGAAAGCUCUCGGGUCUUAACCUGGCAACGGCAUUUC